AGGAGGACCAACCCCAGUGGCGGCGGCAGCUCUGGAGCCCUGGAUUCAGCCCCUGCAGUAACUCCGGAGCUCUCCGUCUGCAGGGCCUGGAGGCUCCGGGGCGGG
rfam:Canis lupus familiaris chromosome 35, whole genome shotgun sequence.